CACGUAGGGGGCAAGCGUUGUCCGGAUUUAUUGGGCGUAAAGAGCUCGUAGGCGGUUCGCUAAGUCGGGUGUGAAACCUCCAGGCUCAACCUGGAGACGCCACCUGAUACUGGUGUGACUCGAGUCCGGUAGGGGAGCGUGGAAUUCCUGGUGUAGCGGUGAAAUGCGCAGAUAUCCGGAGGAACACCAGUGGCGAAGGCGACUUUCUGGCCUGUUCUUGACGCUGAGGCGCGAAAGCUAGGGGAGCAAACGGG
rnacentral:rRNA from 1 species